AAACACUGUUAUGCAAAGUGAUAAAUAUGAAAUUUAAGAGAAUGAGUCUUUUAUGUGUAGUAAUAGAUGCAGUGCACUGAGCCCAGCGAGGGAUUGAGGAGACCUUGCCCUGGCAAGAGCUGGCCUUCGUGCGUGUCCUCUGGCCAGGAGAGAAACUUUCCGCUGUGCUGCCCCUCCAGCCUCCUCAAGAGCAACGAAGGCAAGUGCUUCCAGGGGCCAACUCAUCAGCCCAGAUGCUGAUUCAGCCCAAGAAUAUUUAACGGCAGCAGAAAAAUGGAUCACACCAGAGGAUUUUCUCCUUGAAGAGGAUUUCACCCUGUUCUACUCAGAGAUGGAAAUUUCUGAGACCCCACUUCCUCUGCGUGUGCCGUCCUUGCUGCUGGCUCCUUCAGCGACACGCGGGAUCCUGCCAACGCGGGGUUGUGGCAGCCACAUGGAUGAAUAUGGGUGUCCCCAACAGUCCACCAGUUCAGACCUUCAUCGCUCUGUAAGGUACACAAAAACAAUUUUCCAGCGUGGUAUUUUGGACACUCUAUUAUAAGGAAAUGUAUGUAAUGGCAAUGGGGGUAUUGGCAUAUAUUCCUGCCAGUGGAGGUGUGUAUGAUGUGUGUGCAGGAAAAUCUGUAGGGAAUGAUGUACAGCUACUGUGUGUGAGACAGGUGGGUGCUGUUCUACUGGUGCUCAUUGAAACCCCUGGCAUCCCCUACCACAAUAAUUUCCAAAGUGGUAUAAUAUUUCCUUGCAGGUUUACUUAAAGAUUGAUACAAAUAAGAGAGUGAAGCACUUUUUUACUUGAACAGUGAGAGGCAAGAGUGUCAUUACCUGGAGACCCAGGGUCCCUGGCCAGAUCAUUGGGCCUGGAGAGUUACCUACCAGACAUUUCUUGGAUUCUGCAGAAUAAAUGGACAUCCAGGUAAUGGGGUAGGAAAGUA
rnacentral:lncRNA from 1 species